UAAAGAGGUUAUAUUGAUAUUUAAUACAUCAAACGAUUAAGAGAAAUCUUAUUUUAAUUGUAUUAUUUAAUUAAUAAGAACAAAAAAUAAUCAUAAAAGAAUGUAGAAGCAAAAAAUAUGGCUUUUGCUAUGAUUAUUCUAUUUUUAUUAUUUAAAAAAUUCUAAUGCAUUUAUGUUUAACGAUCACGCCGCCAGGGGGAUACAUGUUUCCUUGCAUUAAGUGCAUCCGCGAUGCGUUCAAACGUGUUAGAUAAUUUUCUAAUUAAUAAAUCAAUAUUUUAAAAGGUAUAUAUAAAAAAAAGUUAUAAAAAUAAAGUGAAUUUUUAUUACAACUUAUAUUUCAUAAUAUCAUGGUAUAAAAACAAAGAUACCAAUACAUCUAAAGCUUCAUCUAAUUCAGCUUCGGUUAAAUCACCACGAGCUUUAACUCUUAAACCUAGUGUGUUAUAAUGAACUGAUAUAGCAGAACGCUUUGGUCUCCCUUCAACUGUAAAGAAAAAUAUCGAGAAAAUGUUUUUUAACCACUCCGCUAUCCCAGCCAAUAAUAGAAGCAACAUCCACAACAGGGAAUUCUAUGACGAACACGACAAACCAUUAGAUACGAUGGACGGAAAUUAUGAGACCAUUGAGAUAUGCAAUGAGCUUCAUCUAUACAAGCAAAAGCUAUCGGUGGCAGUUGUCUAAGUAAAGCACCAAAUCCAGUUGAUUUCUCACCAGCCACUAUUGCUUCAGGUGAGACAAGUAAUAUUUGGAUUUUCGAUUGUUUUACAAGUUGCAUUACAUUAUCUCUUACUUUAGGAGUUUGAUUAGUAUGCAAACAAGCUGCGGAUAAAAAUGAUGCCAUGCUAGUUACUUGGUCGUCCAUUAAUGAAACUAAUGGCGAGAUAACUAAUGUUAUGCAGGUUGAAUAUUUAGAAUAUAAAUAUGCCGGUAAUUGAUAACAUAAAGAUUUUCCAGAACCAGUUGACAAAGGAGGCAUAAUUUGGCUAUCAAUUCAUCAGGAAUUUUAUGGACUACUGGAAUUUCCUGUAAUAAAUUUUAAUAAUUAGAUAUAGUAA